GCAUGGUGAAUGCCUUGGCACUAGAAGCCGAUGAAGGACGUGACUAACGACGAAAUGCUUUGGGGAGCUGUAAGUAAGCAUUGAUCCAGAGAUGUCCGAAUGGGGGAACCCGGCAACUAAUGGUUGUCACUCAUUACUGUUAAGGUAAUGUAGAGGAAGACGCAGUGAACUGAAACAUCUAAGUAGCUGCAGGAAGAGAAAGCAAACGCGAUUGCCUUAGUAGCGGCGAGCGAAGAGGCAGGAGGGCAAACCGAUGUGUUUACACAUCGGGGUUGUAGGACUGCGUUGUGGGACGACAAGAUUAUAGAAGAAUUACCUGGGAAGGUAAGCCAAAGAGAGUAACAGCCUCGUAUUCGAAAUAGUCUUUAACCCUAGCAGUAUCCUGAGUACGGCGAGACACGAGAAAUCUCGUCGGAAUCUGGGAGGACCAUCUCCUAACCCUAAAUACUCUCUAGUGACCGAUAGUGAACCAGUACCGUGAGGGAAAGGUGAAAAGCACCCCGGGAGGGG
rnacentral:rRNA from 1 species